GCUUGCUAUAGCUUAAAAAAGAGCGUAACAUUGAAGCUGUUAAGGUAAUUGUUAAGGAUUUUCAAGCA
rnacentral:tRNA from 1 species